CUGGUUGAUCCUGCCAGUAGUCAUAUGCUUGUCUCAAAGAUUAAGCCAUGCAUGUCUAAGUUCAAGCGAAAAUAAAGUGAAACCGCGAAUGGCUCAUUACAUCAGUUAUGGUUCCUUAGAUCGCACUUACUACUUGGAUAACUGUGGUAAUUCUAGAGCUAAUACAUGCACUGAGCUCCAACCCUCGUGGAAGGAGCGCUUUUAUUAGAUCAAAGCCAAUCGGGCCUUCGGGUCCGUACCGUUGGUGACUCUGAAUAACUUUGCUGAUCGCAUGGUCUCGUACCGGCGACGUAUCUUUCAAGUGUCUGCCUUAUCAACUGUCGAUGGUAGGUUAUGCGCCUACCAUGGUUGUAACGGGUAACGGGGAAUCAGGGUUCGAUUCCGGAGAGGGAGCCUGAGAAACGGCUACCACAUCCAAGGAAGGCAGCAGGCGCGCAAAUUACCCACUCCCGGCACGGGGAGGUAGUGACGAAAAAUAACGAUACGGAACUCACAUGAGGCUCCGUAAUCGGAAUGAGUACACUUUAAAUCCUUUAACGAGGAUCUAUUGGAGGGCAAGUCUGGUGCCAGCAGCCGCGGUAAUUCCAGCUCCAAUAGCGUAUAUUAAAGUUGUUGCGGUUAAAAAGCUCGUAGUUGGAUCUCGGUUUCGGGCGGGUGGUGCGCCUUGCGGUGUUUACUGUCUGCCCGGACGAUUUUGUUGGUUCGUUCGUGGUUCUCUUAACCGAGUGCCACGGGUGGCCAGCACGUUUACUUUGAAAAAAUUGGAGUGCUCAAAGCAGGCGCUACAGCCUGAACAUUAGUGCAUGGAAUAAUGGAAUAGGACCUCGGUUCUAUUUCGUUGGCUUUCGGAGUCGAGGUAAUGAUUAAUAGGAACAGACGGGGGCAUUCGUACUGCGACGUUAGAGGUGAAAUUCUUGGAUCGUCGCAAGACGAACUACUGCGAAAGCAUUUGCCAAGAAUGUUUUCAUUAAUCAAGAACGAAAGUUAGAGGUUCGAAGGCGAUCAGAUACCGCCCUAGUUCUAACCAUAAACGAUGCCGACCGGCGAUCCGCCGUCGUUAAUUGAAUGACUCGGCGGGCAGCCUCCGGGAAACCAGAGUGUUUGGGUUCCGGGGGAAGUAUGGUUGCAAAGCUGAAACUUAAAGGAAUUGACGGAAGGGCACCACCAGGAGUGGAGCCUGCGGCUUAAUUUGACUCAACACGGGAAAUCUCACCAGGCCCGGACACCGGAAGGAUUGACAGAUUGAGAGCUCUUUCUUGAUUCGGUGGGUGGUGGUGCAUGGCCGUUCUUAGUUGGUGGAGCGAUUUGUCUGGUUAAUUCCGAUAACGAACGAGACUCUGGCCUACUAACUAGAUGUAGGAUCCCUUUGUGGGUCCGUCACUGCUUCUUAGAGGGACGGGCGGCUUUUAGCCGCACGAGAAUGAGCAAUAACAGGUCUGUGAUGCCCUUAGAUGUUCUGGGCUGCACGCGCGCUACACUGAAGGAAUCAGCGUGUGUUCCCUACCCGAAAGGGUUGGGAAACCCGUUGAACCUCCUUCGUGAUGGGGAUUGGGGAUUGCAAUUAUUCCCCAUGAACGAGGAAUUCCCAGUAGGCGCGAGUCAUAAGCUUGCGUCGAUUACGUCCCUGCCCUUUGUACACACCGCCCGUCGCUACUACCGAUCGAGUGAUUUAGUGAGGACUUCGGACUGGUCUUCGUGGUGGCUCUCGAGUCAUGACGGAGUUCCGGAAAGAUGCCCAAACUUGAUCACUUAGAGGAAGUAAAAGUUGUAACAAGGUUUCCGUAGGUGAACCUGCG
rnacentral:rRNA from 1 species